rnacentral:rRNA from 1 species
AUUGAACGCUGGCGGAAUGCUUUACACAUGCAAGUCGAACGGUAGAGGGGGCAACCCCUCGAGAGUGGCGAACGGGUGAGUAAUAUAUCGGAACGUGCCCAGUCGUGGGGGAUAACGUAGCGAAAGUUACGCUAAUACCGCAUACGAUCUAAGGAUGAAAGCGGGGGAUCGCAAGACCUCGCGCGAUUGGAGCGGCCGAUAUCAGAUUAGGUAGUUGGUGGGGUAAAGGCUCACCAAGCCAACGAUCUGUAGCUGGUCUGAGAGGACGACCAGCCCGACUGGAACUGAGACACGGUCCAGACUCCUACGGGAGGCAGCAGUGGGGAAUUUUGGACAAGGGACGCAAGUCUGAUCCAGCCAUUCCGCGUGCAGGAUGAAGGCCCUCGGGUUGUAAACUGCUUUUGUACGGAACGAAAAGGUCUCUCUUAAUACGGGGGGCUCAUGACGGUACCGUAAGAAUAAGCACCGGCUAACUACGUGCCAGCCGCCGCAGUAA